rnacentral:rRNA from 1 species
UACGUAGGGUGCAAGCGUUGUCCGGAAUUAUUGGGCGUAAAGAGCUCGUAGGCGGUUUGUCGCGUCUGCUGUGAAAACUCAGGGCUUAACUCUGAGCUUGCAGUGGGUACGGGCAGACUAGAGUGCGGUAGGGGAGACUGGAAUUCCUGGUGUAGCGGUGAAAUGCGCAGAUAUCAGGAGGAACACCUGUGGCGAAGGCGGCCCCCUGGUUGGAUACUGACGCUGAGACGCGAAAGCGUGGGGAGCAAACAGG